rnacentral:misc_RNA from 1 species
GAUGAAGAAGGCAGCGAAAUGCGAUACGUAAUGUGAAUUGCAGAAUUCAGUGAAUCAUCGAGUCUUUGAACGCACAUUGCGCCCUCUGGUAUUCCGGAGGGCAUGCCUGUCCGAGCGUCAUUGCUGCCCUCAAGCACGGCUUGUGUGUUGGGCCCCGCCCCCCGAUCCCGGGGGGCGGGCCCGAAAGGCAGCGGCGGCACCGCGUCCGGUCCUCGAGCGUAUGGGGCUUUGUCACCCGCUCUGUAGGCCCGGCCGGCGCCUGCCGAUCAACCAAACUUUUUUCCAGGUUGACCUCGGAUCAGGUAGGGAUACCCGCUGAACUUAAGCAUAUCAAUAAGCGAGGA